CAUGUCGAUAAUUGGAGGAUUGAAGGAAAAACAGUUCUCUAUAAAACAUUAAACGUGAUUACAGAUGUAGCAACCAAGACAUUACCCUGAAUCCACAGGCCUCCACGCUCUCCAUGAUUCGCAAAGAAUAAAUACAUGCCGAUGUAUGACUUUGUUGACAGAUUGGCGUCACUGUAUCCUCAGUAACCAUACCUCUUGGAUUCUAGGCAAAUACAACAGGAAGUAGAAUACUUGUCGCGAAAUCGUCCUGACAACGAAUUCGAGCAAAGAUCUUAGAGCGGAUUACCUGAGAUCCACAGAUAACGAGUCUUUAAUGCAGGCGGCAGCGCUGAGGUGAGAUGGCAGAGAUCAACGCCGUGUGCAUGCCUAUUGUUGUUUACCUAGAAAAUGUAUGCGAUAAUCCGGGCUCAGCUCAGCAGAAACGGGAAAAGUUGCAAAAAGCAUCUCAGGAACCAGUGUCUUGUCUAUUAGGGUCUAUAACUGAACUCAGCAACCGGAUCUCUUCACUCCCCCUCCUACCAAAUGCAGGAUGCGCAGAUACACAGGCUCCUAAAGACAAAAAGUCAACCCAACUAAGCAUUCCAAAACAGGCUGGCCAGCCCACCUCCACAUUUCAAGACAAACAGGAGAGUCUCUCCUGGUCUGGCCACAGUGGCUCUCAGCAGGAGUCCCCUCCGCCUCCUCAGCCUGGUCAGGGCCGGAGCAACACGUCCAGCGAGAAGCAUGAAGGUGGUAUGCCCAAGCUGGUGGAGCUUUACCAGUUCCCAGGCUUCAGUAAAGAUGGCGCGAUACCUCUGCCCUACCACACACCUUUCUCCACCGUUGUCACCCAAGUGGUGCGCGCUCAACAAGGUCUCAGCCACAAGCCCAGAUAUAAAGCUGCUUUUCAAAGCAACCUCUCUUCUGUCCUUAUGGAGCAUUUUGUCACUGACAUGUUUUGGUGGCUGUUUCUUCAGAACUUCCAGCCAGAUGGACAAGUACAGGACUGCUUGUUCUCUAGAAUUGCAGAGAAUUACAUCAGAAUCCUUACCCACAACCAGUCAUCACGCAUCAGCAAUGUUUUUCUCCGGGAGUUUCCCUGCAUCCUAAGCCAAACGCUGUACAGCUGCUUCUGCUGCUGCUUCCCCCAGUCCUGCAGCACUAUACGCCACGGCACCUUCCUCCAAAUGCUGUGCUCUACUGCCUACCAGUGGACAGAAGGGGUUUGUCCUGCUCCUAAUGUCUUCAAAAAGUGGGACUUCAAGGCCCUGGAGCCAGAGGAAGCCGGUAGCAGAAAGUUCACCGCCGAGAAUGAGAAAAAGGAGCCAGAAUUGAGUGUGUCACUCCUGGACAGCUUGUUUCCUGGUGCUGGUGUGUCCAGCCAACGUGACGGCCCUCCCAGAAAGCCGGUGAGCCCAUUGAUUGAACCUAUUAGAACUAGUUCUAAAGGGGCCUUUUCAAACACAGAGGAGCAGAAUAUCAACAACCCAUCUGAGAAAGAAGAGAAGAGCGCUGGCUCAGAGGACAUAAAAGGCUCUGAUCAGAAGGCAGCCACUGACCACAGCAAUCGAAAAUCAACCAAGGAGUGUGACUGGUACAAACUGGAGUUUGGCCGCUGCACAUUUGACCUGUGGGGGAACAGCCCUCUGGUGCAGCACUUCAUGCACAAGUUCAGGCCGGAGCCCAGCGUGGGCCAGGGCGUGCUGGUGCGCAGGACGCAGAUCCGCACGCUGCCUCCGGGGGACACGGUGACGUACCGGCAGCUGAUCCGUCAGUGCCGUGAGCGCUCGGCGGCGCGCUGGCGUGACCUGAAGGCGGCGAGAGCCCAGUGUGCAGAGGAGCUCGCCGCCCUACAUCGCAUCAAAGCUGAGCAACGCCACAUCCUACUCAAGAAGCAGACGACAAUUCUGUCCCAGCAGUCCAGUGUGAAGCAGUACUACCAGAAGCUCUACCCUGACACUACUAAAGAGGAGGAGAUAGACCCAACCUCUGAGAGCUCCUGAACUCAGUAGAUGUAGCCAUGCUGGCAAUGAACAAAAACCUUUACUCAUCAUGCAGACAGCAAUUACUGACUCACUUCCUGUGGUCUUAAAUCAGCCAGGGGGAUUACAUCUAUGUGCCUGAAUUAAAAUGAAUGCUAUGUGUAGGCCUGUAGGCUGAAGGAGGCAAAGCCCACUGCAGAGUGGUGCCAGUGGAGGAUCUCUCAAUUCUCCUGAAAAGAAACAUCAGUAAAGCUGAAGAGAUCGCAGCCAUAUUGAAUCAGUUGCUUUAGCCUGAAGUAGCAGUCCGCUCUGUGAAAUAAAGCCAGACAGUUUGCAGCCGCGCCCAUGAGUUACCUCCGGAGUGUAUCGGGUAUGUGUUUUGGGGAGCUGCAAUUGUUUCUAUUCUAUCUGUCAGGGAGCUGUAUUCAGCCAAACGACAUGUUUCAUUAACAAACCGCCUUUGACCUCAGAGCUAUGGCUGAGGUGUGGUUUCCGAGGUGGCUAAGAUGUCUGUCGAUGGAGUCUGUAAACAAGAAUUAUCUCAAAGACACAUUCUGGUGAGAUGUCAGAUUAUAGCCAAGGCGCACACCCCCAGCCAAAAAGCACAAGGCCACACAGACCAUGUAAGGAGAUUUGGCUGGAACAUUUUUGCUUCAGUUGGCUCACUGGCUACUCGACGUGAUACUGCACAAAAUAUUUCGGCGAGAUGCUUAUCCUGCCGACGGGGCUGCGGUUGCAUACAUAAGUAAGUUAAUGACUGAGAAGAAAGCUCAUGUAAAAUUAAUUAUGGGAAUGAGAGGACUUGGUUUUAUGGUAUUAGUCAUCCUUGAAAUGGGUCCGUGUUUUCUUUAUGCUAGAAUUUAGAUCACCCAGAUUAGAGUCGCUGCUGCAGACGACGCUUAAAUGUGUUAUCAGUUCACAUUCAACAUGAUGCAAGUUUGUCUCGCUCUUAAUCCCUUUUACCCCAAUGACCCGUGGGGCUUGUGUACUUUCCAACCAGCGAUCCCUGGCCAGGGAUGUCAAAGCAUGAUUUCUUGCACAUGUCCAGAUAGCCGUCUGAGUAGCAGCUCUGGCUCAGAUGUGGCCCAGAUUAGGGCCAGACAACAGUCAGUCCUGAUACCAGACUGCGCCUGGUCAGACUGGCACGACUGUAAUAACUUCAUUAAGGCAUGAGCCAGAUAGCCACUAAUGCAGCGCUGAUUUGUCAUGGGUCAGUUCCCGGAUCAGCAGCCAUCUGGGAGAGUGUAUUGAGUUUGGACUUGUAAGAACCUCGGAGAAGAGAAAAAUCAAGUGAUUGCCUGUCUGCAUGCUGCCCACAUUUCUUUGAGAAGAUGAGUCAGAAGAACUCAUUGGACAGAACCCAAUAGACGGGCAGUGAUUGACAGAUAUCACUGCACUGGCCUGUCAGAAAAUACUGAUAUAGGCAACAAGAGUUGG